rnacentral:rRNA from 1 species
UGAGGAAUAUUGCACAAUGGGGGCAACCCUGAUGCAGCGACGCCGCGUGGAUGAUGAAGGCCUUCGGGUUGUAAAGUCCUUUUGCCACUGACGAGAACGGACGGUAGGUGGCGAAUAAGCCCCGGCUAACUACGUGCCAGCAGCCGCGGUAAAACGUAGGGGGCGAGCGUUAUCCGGAGUUACUGGGCGUAAAGGGUGUGUAGGCGGUGGCAUAAGUGGGGUGUGAAACACUCAGGCUAAACCUGGGAGGUGCGCCUCAGACUGUGCGACUAGAGUGGGAUAGAGGGGCGUGGAAUUCCGGGUGGAGCGGUGAAAUGUGUAGAGAUCCGGAGGAACACCAGAGGCGCAAGCGGCGCCCUGGGUCCCAACUGACGCUGAAACACGAAAGCUUGGGGAGCGAACGG